UACGUAGGGUGCAAGCGUUGUCCGGAAUUAUUGGGCCUAAAGCAUCCGUAGCCGGUUCUACAAGUCUUCCGUUAAAUCCACCUGCUUAACAGAUGGGCUGCGGAAGAUACUAUAGAGCUAGGAGGCGGGAGAGGCAAGCGGUACUCGAUGGGUAGGGGUAAAAUCCUUUGAUCCAUUGAAGACCACCAGUGGCGAAGGCGGCUUGCCAGAACGCGCUCGACGGUGAGGGAUGAAAGCUGGGGGAGCAAACCGG
rnacentral:rRNA from 1 species